rnacentral:rRNA from 1 species
GUGAUUGUUGUCCCAGAUCGAACGCUGGCGGCAUGGCUAAGACAUGCAAGUCGUACGGACCACGGUAGCAAUAUCGUGGUUAGUGGCGGACGGGAGAGUAAUGCAUAGGCAACGUACCUCGCACACCGGGAUAACAGCGCCCUUCGGGGCUUUAGCGAAAGUGCUGCUAAUACCGGACGACCUCGCCGGGUCGCAUGGCCUGGCGAGCAAAGGUGGGGACCUUCGGGCCUGCCGGUGCGGGAUCGGCCUAUGUCCUAUCAGCUAGUUGGUGAGGUAACGGCUCACCAAGGCGACGACGGGUAGCGGGCGUGAGAGCGUGACCCGCCUCAUCGGGACUGAGACACUGCCCGGACACCUACGGGUGGCUGCAGUAACGAAUCUUGGGCAAUGGGCGCAAGCCUGACCCAGCAAUGCCGCGUGCAGGAGGAAGCCCUUCGGGGUGUAAACUGCUGUCAGGGUUUAGCAAGCAAGGGAGGUUAACAGCCUCUUGCGCUGAGCAGACCCAAAGGAAGCCUCGGCUAACUCUGUGCCAGCAGCCGCGGUAAUACAGAGGAGGCUAGCGUUGUUCGGAUUUACUGGGCUUAAAGGGCGCGUAGGCGGCCAAGUAAGCGUUUUGUGAAAGCCCCCGGCUCAACCGGGGAACCGCUGAGCGAACUGCUUGGCUUGAGUAUGGUAGAGGCGCUUGGAACUCUAGGUGGAGCGGUGAAAUGCGUAGAUAUCUAGAGGAACGCCAGAUGCGAAAGCGGAGCGCUGGGCCAUUACUGACGCUGAGACGCGAAAGCGUGGGGAGCAAACAGGAUUAGAUACCCUGGUAGUCCACGCCGUAAACGAUGCACACUAGAUCUGGUCGGCUCUGACGUCNACCGGGUCCAAGCGAAAGCGUUAAGUGUGCCGCCUGGGGACUACGGCCGCAAGGCUAAAACUCAAGGAAUUGACGGGGCUCACACAAGCGGUGGAGCAUGUGCUUAAUUCGAAGCAACGCGAGAACCUUACCCAGGUUUGAACAUGCUUGGAUGCUAUCCGGGGAUACUCGUGCGCUGCCUUCG